rnacentral:rRNA from 1 species
GCUACAAUGGACGGUACAAAGAGCUGCAAGACCGCGAGGUGGAGCUAAUCUCAUAAAACCGUUCUCAGUUCGGAUUGUAGGCUGCAACUCGCCUACAUGAAGCUGGAAUCGCUAGUAAUCGCGGAUCAGCAUGCCGCGGUGAAUACGUUCCCGGGCCUUGUACACACCGCCCGUCACACCACGAGAGUUUGUAACACCCGAAGUCGGUGGGGUAACCUUUAUGGAGCCAGCCGCCUAAGGUGGGACAGAUGAUUGGGGUGAAGUCGUAACAAGGUCGCCGUAUCGGAAGGUGCGGCUGGAUCACCUCCUUUCUAUGGAGA